rnacentral:rRNA from 1 species
AUUGCUAGCGGCGGACGGGUGCGUAACACGUGGGUAACCUGCCCCUAUCACUGGGAUAACACACUGAAAAGUGUGCUAAUACCAGAUAACAUAAGCUUUUGGCAUCAUUAGCUUAUCAAAGAAUUUCGGAUAGGGAUGGGCCCGCGUCUGAUUAGCUAGUUGGUGAGGUAACGGCUCACCAAGGCAACGAUCAGUAGCCGACCUGAGAGGGUGAUCGGCCACACUGGAACUGAGACACGGUCCAGACUCCUACGGGAGGCAGCAGUGGGGAAUAUUGCACAAUGGGCGAAAGCCUGAUGCAGCAACGCCGCGUGAGCGAUGAAGGCCUUCGGGUCGUAAAGCUCUGUCCUAUGGGAAGAUAAUGACGGUACCAUAGGAGGAAGCCCCGGCUAACUACGUGCCAGCAGCCGCGGUAAUACGUAGGGGGCAAGCGUUAUCCGGAAUUACUGGGCG